GGGAGGUGCCUUUUUAAUUUUCUGGCAUCAUCUCCUACGUCAUGUGGCACCCUGUUUCACGGCGGCGGGGUCCCACCCUAGCAAUGGCUGCAUUUUUGUGGCAGGUGAAGUCAUUCCCACGUAAAGCCGCUUAAGGUGCGCUGGAGCCGUCGGGAGGGCAGGUGUCACGUCCGCAGAGCCGUGGCCUGUCCAUGAACUUCGAUUGGCAUAAGAGAGCUGAUAGACAAGAAUGAGCAAAACUACGGAGUGUUAAUAGAUAUCUUUGCAGCAUGGUCUUGUUUGGUGACCUAAAGAAGGGCAGUUUCCUCGUACGGUUUUUCCAGCUACGGUCAUUAAUCGGGACUGAACACGUGGGUUAUCUGAUCUUCUGUGGUUUUUAGAAGCAGGAAAUC
rnacentral:lncRNA from 1 species